rnacentral:rRNA from 1 species
UACGUAGGUUGCGAGCGUUAUUCGGAUUUACUGGGCGUAAAGAGCACCGAGGUGGCUUCUUAAGUUGGAUGUGAAAUCUCCUGGCUUAACCGGGAGGCGCCAUUCAAAACUGGGGAGCUUGAGGUCAGCAGGGGAAGGUGGAAUUCCCGGUGUAGUGGUGGAAUGCGUAGAGAUCGGGAGGAACACCAGUGGCGAAGGCGAAUCCCUGGAAAAUACCUGACACUGAGGCACGAAAGCUAGGGGAGCAAACAGG